UACGUAGGUGGCAAGCGUUGUCCGGAUUUACUGGGCGUAAAGCGUGCGCAGGCGGCUUUGCAAGACAGAUGUGAAAUCCCCGGGCUUAACCUGGGAACUGCAUUUGUGACUGCAUGGCUGGAGUGCGGCAGAGGGGGAUGGAAUUCCGCGUGUAGCAGUGAAAUGCGUAGAGAUGCGGAGGAACACCGAUGGCGAAGGCAGCCCCCUGGGCCAACACUGACGCUCAGGCACGAAAGCGUGGGGAGCAAACAGG
rnacentral:rRNA from 1 species